rnacentral:lncRNA from 1 species
GAAAUUGUACCUUAAGCAGGUGAGAAAUUCACUUUAAAUAGGUGAGAAAGGAUGAUACAAUAAAAGACUGAUUGGGUUGGCAUCAAAUGAAAUUCAUAUUCCCAUUUAAGUACCAACAAGCAUGGGCCCUCAACUGAGAUCAAGAGGACAUGACAAGGCUUGGUCUCUAAGUCCACUGCUGACAGGAAAAUCUUCAGUGGUUCCAGAGACAAGCUGCUGGAAAUCCUGCACAUUUAUCUUCUAGAAGGAAGUAAACUGAUUAGGAUAGUGGUCCCUUCAGAAAGAACCUCCCCUAAAACUUUAAAGGACUCCAAAUUAAGCCAUGUUCAUAUCUGGGACCCUAAAGUGGCUCAUAAAAGUUAGGGACCGCCUGCUUAAUGUUAGGUGAUUGCAAAAGCUUUAAGAUUCAAAGGGGGGAGUGAAGGUGGGGAAGGUGAUGGUGAAUAAAUUGUGAGAGCCUCCCA